UUCCCCCAGUCAACCCAAAAACCAGAAACCCCCAAAUCCCUCAAUGACCAGACUCAAAAACCAAAAAAUCCUAAAUCCCUCAAGAACCAAAACUGAAAUUUUGCUUCUUAUUGAUUGAAAAUAGCCUAAAUCGGGUUCAAAUUUUUUAGUUUGGGUGGCAUUAGGUCGGGUUCGAAGGGGUGGUGGCAGGCCGUGGUGGUGGUGGUUGUUGUCAGAGAUGGUUGGGAGGGCGGUAGCGGUUGGUGUAGCGGUGCGAUUGGUGGUAGCUAUAGAGAACAGUCAGGAGUAAAGAGAAGAAGGUGAGAAAGAGUUAUAUAUAUAGUCUCAAAAGGUGAAGUUACAAAACUACCCUCAUGUGCUAAAUACAUGACUGGAUUUAACCAAAAAAAUCAACCAGGUUAGGGCUAAAGGAUAAAACGUGUACGAUUUGAAAACAUAAAGUACAAAACUCGUCAAUUUUAAACAUAAAGGAUAGCGCCUGCAAAUGGAUAUAAAGAUAAAGGACAAAACUUGCAAUUCACUCUCUAUAUAUAUGUAUACACACAUAUAAAAGAAAGAGCACACACAUAGAUCUGUUUGCUCUCGUCCGGAUCUAAUUGUAAAGGAACGAGGUGACACUAACCCGCGCGUUGCGGUGCGUGUUAAUUAUGAAUAACUUGUUAU
rnacentral:lncRNA from 1 species